CACACCCCAGGUAAUAGUGGGUUAGAGAAAGGCGGAGAAGGGUUCACAGGGGCCACGGGAUGGGGCGUGCGCGUCGCAGGCGGCUGGAUGAGGUCAGGGCCAGGCGGGGCUUCUCCCGAGAGGGCGUGUGCCAUUCUCAGGAGUGCGGGGUUGGUUCAAAGCCUGAGUGUGGACAGCAGGCGGCUCGAGUGGGCAGCGUGGAGCAGGGAGACGGAGCUCCGCUGACUGGGGAAGAGGGCUGGAGCUCUCGGCCUGCCGGCCCUGUGCUGCGUUCACUGGGUGCAGCGCCGCUGUGCCCAGUGUUGGGUGCCUCUCCCGUGUACGACCCAGCAAGGUUGCUGGUUCGCUGGGCUGGGGUGUCCAGUAAGCUGCGGCCUGGUUUGGUCUGACAUAACUUAGACAUGCCGAUUUUUUAUUAGGAAGAUUAAUUUAUUUAUCAAUUUAUGCCUCAAUUGUGCUGUGCAGCUGGGAGUCUUUUUCUGAUGUUUGGUGCGUCCAGCACCUGGUGACUGUUGUAGCCGUUUCAGAGAAAAGAAUCAUGCCAUGAAAAUGUCCAAAUUAAAAGUCCUUGUUAGCCGGCGACCAAGGAUGAGCUUGGGCUCCCAUCUUCCUUGGUACCAGUCAAGCAGGGAAGCCCAGUUUUUAAAGGGAAAACCACACAAUAGAAUGUCAUGAUCUCGUCUUUGAGCAAGCACAGGGUACAGAAGCAAAUUGCAAGAUAGAUUAAAAUCCAAUAUUUGGGAUCCAGCAGGAAAUUCUUGCCUUUAUGGGUAAGGCCACAGUAUAACAUGUCCUGUCUUUGUUCUUUUUUGUGGUACCAGGGUUCGAACCCAGAUCCUUGCGCUUGUGAGACAGGCGGUAGAACCACUGAGCUACAUCCCCGGCCCGGCUGUCCUUUGUUCUUAAACACAAGCUACCAUGAGAUCAGUCCUGGAGGAUGAUGCCCCCAAUGCCCAGCACUUCCCAGUCUCUCCUGUAAUGAAGAGAGUCGUGCAACGGAGCUCUGUCGAAGCCAAUGGGUCUAGACUUCGCUGGCAUCACAAUCACAUGGAGGCAAAGUGCAGAUUGCCAGAUGCAGCCCCGGCUUCUGUUAUUCAGCAGGGAACUCAUCCAUUCUGAGACUACCGGCACUAGGACAGCGUCCAACCAAUCAGUGCACUGGUUUAGUAAUCACGCGCCCUUAGUCCCAGCAUCACAGGCUCUAGAUUCAGCCACCUCUGAAAAGAACACCCAUGAGCGCAUGAGGCUUUGGAGGACGUCUAGACCCAAACCAUCACAACCGUCUUGCUCCGGGGGCUCAGGAGACUAGCUGUCAAAAAGGAGUCCCUAAGACGCAGAGGUCUAUGAGUUUAUGGAAAAGAAGAGGAAGGCCACACAAACAGAACACAGGCCCACAUGACGCGUGGGGAUGGACACGUGCCCAGUGGCGCCUGGGGAAGCUCUGGCAGGUGACUGGGUUGUCCUCCGUGGGGGUCCUCAAGUGGCGGACGCCCUAACAGCUCAACUGUCUGACCUAUGCCUGCCACAAGUGACUAAGGAUAAGGAAAUGCAAAAGAAAAGACAGAAAAGGAAAUAACAGCUCACCAAAGGAGUCUCAACUCUCGGUUGGGCCCCUAAGACAUUUCCACGGGUUGUGGGUCUGGGCAUGGGUUCCCUGGUCCUUGUGUGGGGUACAAAGAUUUGGAAGUAGCUUGUGACGGUAAGGAAAUGAGGGCAGAGUGCACUGAGGCCGCGGUAGUCAUCGGGUGGACUCAGAGCGGGAGGGCUCGCCCUCAGCCUCACUGCUUCCUGGCUGCCUUGGAUGAGCAGCUCCCCUCCGCCAUGCCAUCUCUGCCUUGGGGCCGGCGACCAUGGGCUGAAACCAUGAGGCAGAAGGAGCCCCUCUUCCUCGAAGCUGCGGGUGCUGGGUAUUUUGUCUCAGCGAUGAGAACGUGACCGAGGCUCACAGUGGUGCUGGGCAUGGCGAUGACGGCGUGUGGGCCACAGCGCACAUCCGGCCAUGCUGACCGGCACUGCUGAAGCGGGUUUGGGUGGUGCCAAGUGAUGCGAUGGCCUUCUCCACCAGCUCCUGGCCGCGCCAGCCUUCUGGUCUAGGGGUAUUGUCACCUCUGUGUCAUCAAUAGUCACAUCUGAGCUCUAGGAAUGUACUUCUCAAUAGCAGAUGACAGCAAAGCGGAAAGACACGCCUCGCUCACGCCAGCCGACUCCUACCAAGACACAGGCCGAUGACACUCACAAAUGUCACCAGGAAAGGAACGGGGUGAAAGGACAGCUGGAACUCAUGGAUCAAGCCAGAAGUUUCUGGAACUGAGCAGGAGGGACAGCACAUUGCAGCAGCAGGUCACGCAGCAGCAGUCUGGGGACGAAAGCCUCCCCGAGACCCCAACUCACAGGACAACCAGUGGCCCAGCACCUCAGCUAGCAGCGCCUGGGCCUCCCAGGUUUACAGCGCCACCCUGUCCCUGCAUUGCUUCUUGUCAGUCACUCCACACCCGUAGGCCCGGGCAGGGGCUUCUGGCUGGCUGAGCUCAGGCCCAGUGCCCGCACCCCAUCACCAGGGGCCUAGGAGGCCCCAGCCAAACUUUUUGUUUCUUGGUGAGUGUUGAAGCCACAUGUAAGAAGUGGGCUCAGAUGCAGGGCAGCCAGAGACCAGUAAAUGCUGCUCCUCUCGCCUGGUCACCUGUCCUAGGAUGGUCACACAGAGAAAAGCCAAAUCCCAGUAACUUCUCACUCUGCUUUUGCUUUCCUGGGAUCUAGAAGCGGGACAAGGCUAUGCAGCUGGUGAGGACACGCUGCAGGCGGUUGCUGGGCACGUGUCCAGGUUGCCUGUUCAAAAUGGAGCCUUUCCCCUCGUGGCAUGGGUCUCAGGAACUGGGGGCCUUAGUCAGGCUUACUGAACUGAGUGCCACGUCGUCAGCAGAAGCUGGUGGCACUGCCGGUGCUGGGGGUCGGGAGCCCAGUCCUGCAUAUUCUGCAAACUGCUCACCAGCUGAGGAGCCAGGAACUCUGAGCUCCCACCCUGUCCUGCCUCUGCCCUUGGCAUGGUUUUGAGCAGAUCUUUCCAUUUCUGUGACUAAGUUUUCUCACGUGCCCAAUGGAGAGAAUCAUAUGGAGUGCAAAGGCCUUUUGUGAGACCCUAAUUCAUAGUAUCUGCAAAGUACUUUCUAUUGAGUUAAUGGUUUGACCUGAGAAACGGAUUAGAAAUUAUUCAGGAGCAAACAGUGUUUAGAAUCUGGCUUUUCCAUAGCCAGUAGGUUCCCCUGGCUGUGGACAAGUCUGUCAUAAGGGGACGCCCUGGGCUCCAUAAAAUCCCUGCCGUGGGCAGCCAGUCACGGGCUCGGCUCAGGGAGGCCAUUCAGCUCUGGGCCACACCAUGUGUGGCUCGGGAGCCAACAGAGCCACUGGUCAGAAAUGGAAGCCAGACCUGCAAACUGAUUAAAGUUUCCCUCAAGAGGUGAAGAGGCUGAUGAACUGCUUUGAAAGCCAGAUAAACUGGACUCCUCCCCAGCUGCCCCUCUCCGGGUUAGAUGUCUGCUGGACACAUCUGAAGGAGUAGGACAGGGCCGGGGAUUUAGCUCAGUGGUGCCGCCACCUGCCUCGCAAGCACAAGGUCCCGAGUUUGAUUCCCAGUACACACACAACAAAAUGAUAGAGGACAGAGGGUGGAAGGGAAGAAUAAAAUAUUA